CACACACACACGUUCUCAUUCCCUUUUUGCGAUGGCCCGGCAGCUGUGGGGUUGGGGUUGUGCUAGCGUAGAAUUGUACGAGCGAUUUUCCACGCUUUACGCACUGCGCGUAACUUGGGCACUCCGCUCCCUGUUGGCUGUGCCGUGGCUGCUGAAUGCUUUGUGCCGCUGGCAUUCGCUGCUCUUUGCUUUCGACCUGAACUCAGACGUGAACACCCGCUGAACUUAAGCAUAU
rnacentral:rRNA from 1 species